rnacentral:lncRNA from 1 species
AUAAUAAUGGAAUAAUUAAGAAGUGUACUUGAUUAUGAGUUAGAAAUUUGGUUUCUAUAUGUAGUAACAAUUAGAGCUUGUUUGGUUCACCUAUUUUGAAAUUUGGAAUCAAGAUGAGGUUCACUCGUUUUUAUAGCUGUUAUUUAUUUUAUAAGAAUUAGAUUUCGAUUCCCAUUUCACCCUGGAAUGAGAAUUAUCAAAUCCGUUUAUGAUUUAAUACGAUUUUGAAUUCUAAAUUGACAAAUUUCAGCGUAAGUCGAUCACUCAAUGCUCUUUCUCACAAAUACUUCUGUCUUCGGAGUAUUUAUCACUUUUCCCUUGUUUAGCCAAAAUACUCUCUUGAAAUUCUAAGUGUUUCAAUUGACCAUUCCGAUUUUUAUUCCAAUAUUGAACCAAACAAUUUUGGAUAAUUCAUCUUUUUAUUUUCUACUCCAAUACAAUCCAAUUUUAUUUUCAUUCUCCUUCGAAACAUGAACCAAACAUGCCCUUAAAGUUGAAUAAACCACCUCUAAAUUUUCUCGAUAAUAUAGUAAUUUUCAAACU